rnacentral:rRNA from 1 species
UACAAGGGGUGCAAACGUUGCUCGGAAUCAUUGGGCGUAAAGCGCACGUAGGCGGUUCGUUAUGUCGGAUGUGAAAGCCCUUGGCUUAACCGAGGAAGUGCAUCCGAAACUGGCGAGCUAGAGUACUAAAGAGGAUCGCGGAAUUCCCGGUGUAGAGGUGAAAUUCGUAGAUAUCGGGAGGAACACCGGUGGCGAAGGCGGCGAUCUGGGUAGAUACUGACGCUGAGGUGCGAAAGCGUGGGGAGCAAACAGG